rnacentral:rRNA from 1 species
UACGAAGGGGGCUAGCGUUGUUCGGAAUUACUGGGCGUAAAGCGCACGUAGGCGGAUUGGUCAGUUAGAGGUGAAAGCCUGGAGCUCAACUCCAGAAUUGCCUUUAAGACUGCCGAGCUAGCAGGUGAGAGAGGUGAGUGGAAUUCCGAGUGUAGAGGUGAAAUUCGUAGAUAUUCGGAAGAACACCAGUGGCGAAGGCGGCUCACUGGCUCAUACUGGACGCUGAGGUGCGAAAGCGUGGGGAGCAAACAGG